rnacentral:rRNA from 1 species
CCUACGGGGCGCACCAGUAGGGAAUCUUCGGCAAUGGACGAAAGUCUGACCGAGCAACGCCGCGUGAGUGAAGAAGGUUUUCGGAUCGUAAAACUCUGUUGGUAGAGAAGAACGUUGGUGAGAGUGGAAAGCUCAUCAAGUGACGGUAACUACCCAGAAAGGGACGGCUAACUACGUGCCAGCAGCCGCGGUAAUACGUAGGUCCCGAGCGUUGUCCGGAUUUAUUGGGCGUAAAGCGAGCGCAGGUGGUUUAUUAAGUCUGGUGUAAAAGGCAGUGGCUCAACCAUUGUAUGCAUUGGAAACUGGUAGACUUGAGUGCAGGAGAGGAGAGUGGAAUUCCAUGUGUAGCGGUGAAAUGCGUAGAUAUAUGGAGGAACACCGGUGGCGAAAGCGGCUCUCUGGCCUGUAACUGAAACUGAGGCUCGAAAGCGUGGGGAGCAAAAGGGAUUAGAUACCAGCGUAGUC